AUCUGAUCCUAAUUCUGGGUAGUUAGUGUCAGAAUUGUAGGACACAUAGUUGAUGUCAGAGAGUUAGAGAAGUGUUGUUGGAAAAGAUACCAUUUAUUUGGUGUCAGGAGGGAAAAAAGCUCUCAGGCCCCUGCCAAACUUUAACACUGUUACUUCUAAUUGCACCUUACUCGCAUCACAUUGCAAUUCUAUUAGUCUGUUACUAGAACAUGACCUGCACUCUUGAUUUUCACGUGACACCCCCUAUUCUAUCACAAACACAACUAAUUACUUCAUGGACAACAUUACUUGUGAUGAAAAGCCUUCCCAGAUUCUUAUAAGAAUUUAUCUUUCUCUCAUACUUUAAUGUAUCUUUAAUAAUGGCACUUUCACAGUCUAUUUUGUGUUAGUGGGGGCAAGAAAUGCACAAAGAACUAAAAAACUUUUUAUCAUAUGAGGGACAUUCUACAAAAUACCUGACCACUUUUCCUCAAAACUGUCAAGAUCAUCAUGUCCAGACAAUCAAAAACGAGGAAAUUCUAAGAAACUAGUACAGCCAAGAGGAGCCUAAGAACACACAAUGACUAAACAUAAUGUAGUAUCCUGGCUGGAUGCCUGGAACAGGACACCAGGUUCAAACCAAGGAACUCUGAAUAAAAUACAGAUAAACAAAAACCCAUUGUGGAUAAUAUAAAUAAACAGGAAAAACAACUGUUCUUGAACAAUCUAAAAACUUACCAGAAUUAAUUUACAUACAAAUCAUUAGAAGUAUGGCCAGUAAAACCACUAUUUGACUACAUUUUGUUAGCUCUUCAAUUUAUAUAUAUUUACAUAUAUACUAUAUAUAUAUACAUAUAUACUACAUAUAUAUUUACAUAUAUACUACAUAUAUAAUUUUUUUUUGAGACGGAGUCUUGCUCUGUCACCC
rnacentral:lncRNA from 1 species